rnacentral:rRNA from 1 species
UACAGGGGGGGCAAGCGUUGUUCGGAAUUACUGGGCGUAAAGGGUGCGUAGGUGGCGCGCUAAGUCAGGUGUGAAAUUUCGGAGCUUAACUCCGAAACUGCAUUUGAUACUGGCGUGCUUGAGGACUGGAGAGGAGACUGGAAUUCAUGGUGUAGCAGUGAAAUGCGUAGAGAUCAUGAGGAAGACCAGUGGCGAAGGCGGGUCUCUGGACAGUUCCUGACACUGAGGCACGAAGGCCAGGGGAGCAAACGGG